UACGAAGGGGACUAGCGUUGUUCGGAAUCACUGGGCGUAAAGCGUCCGUAGAUGGUUUUGUCAGUCUGCUGUCAAAGCACAGGGCUUAACCCUGUAAAGGCAGUGGAAACUACAAGACUAGAGUGCAGUAGGGGCAGAGGGAAUUCCCAGUGUAGCGGUGAAAUGCGUAGAGAUUGGGAAGAACAUCCGUGGCGAAAGCGCUCUGCUGGACUGCAACUGACAUUGAGGGACGAAAGCUAGGGGAGCGAAUGGG
rnacentral:rRNA from 1 species